GAUGAACGCUAGCGCUAGGCUUAACACAUGCAAGUCGAGGGGCAGCAUGGUCUUAGCUUGCUAAGACUGAUGGCGACCGGCGCACGGGUGCGUAACGCGUAUGCAACUUGCCUCACAGAGGGGGAUAACCCGUCGAAAGACGGACUAAUACCGCGUACACUCCAUCUUGGGCAUCCAAGGUAGAGGAAAUGAAAUUCGCUGUGAGAUAGGCAUGCGUCCCAUUAGCUAGUUGGUGAGGUAACGGCUCACCAAGGCGACGAUGGGUAGGGGAACUGAGAGGUUGAACCCCCACACUGGUACUGAGACACGGACCAGACUCCUACGGGAGGCAGCAGUGAGGAAUAUUGGUCAAUGGGCGAGAGCCUGAACCAGCCAAGUCGCGUGAAGGAUGACUGUCUUAUGGAUUGUAAACUUCUUUUAUACGGGAAUAACAAGAGUCACGUGUGACUCCCUGCAUGUACCGUAUGAAUAAGCAUCGGCUAACUCCGUG
rnacentral:rRNA from 1 species